rnacentral:RNase_P_RNA from 1 species
AGGAGCAGGUGGGCGGCUGACGGUGGGGAGCUUUGCUCCCUGCUGAGGAAAGUCCCCCCUCACUCCGGGCCGGGGAGCCGCGCAAGCGGCAGGGGCGAGAGCCCCUGUAAGGGGAACAGAAACGACACAGCCAGCAGGUAAUGCGAUGAUGGAUUUGAUCCUGAGGUCCCCGCUGGAUUUGUUGAAACGGCCCCUUCCCCCGGAGCAAGCCCAAGCAGCGGGAUCGGUUGCCCGGACCGCCCGCGGGUAGGGCGCACAGUAGAAUGCCGCCAGGGGGAGAAACCGUAGGUUUCUCCCCUAACAGAAGGGGGCUUACGGCCUGCACCU